rnacentral:rRNA from 1 species
AUUGAACGCUGGCGGCAUGCCUUACACAUGCAAGUCGAACGGCAGCACGGGUGCUUGCACCUGGUGGCGAGUGGCGAACGGGUGAGUAAUACAUCGGAACAUGUCCUGUAGUGGGGGAUAGCCCGGCGAAAGCCGGAUUAAUACCGCAUACGAUCUACGGAUGAAAGCGGGGGACCUUCGGGCCUCGCGCUAUAGGGUUGGCCGAUGGCUGAUUAGCUAGUUGGUGGGGUAAAGGCCUACCAAGGCGACGAUCAGUAGCUGAUCUGAGAGGACGACCAGCCACACUGGGACUGAGACACGGCCCAGACUCCUACGGGAGGCAGCAGUGGGGAAUUUUGGACAAAGGGCGAAAGCCUGAUCCAGCAAUGCCGCGUGUGUGAAGAAGGCCUUCGGGUUGUAAAGCACUUUUGUCCGGAAAGAAAUCCUUGGCCCUAAUACGGUCGGGGGAUGACGGUACCGGAAGAAUAAGCACCGGCUAACUACGUG